rnacentral:rRNA from 1 species
UCAAAGAUUAAGCCAUGCAAGUGAAAGUAUAUAUAUAUUUAUUAUAUAGAAACUGCGAACGGCUCAUUAAAACAGUUAUAAUCUACUUGACAUUUUUUUUAUAAGGAUAACUACGGAAAAGCUGUAGCUAAUACUUGAACGAUUGUUCUUCAGUUCCCCAAAAAGGUUCUGUAGAACACGUAUUUGUUAAGCCUAAUAAGAAAAAAGUUAUUAACUUAAGGAAUUAUAACAAAGAAGGAACACAUAAUAAAACUUUGUUUUAUUUAGUGUGUAUCAAUCGAGUUUCUGACCUAUCAGCUUUUGAUGUUAGGGUAUUGGCCUAACAUGGCUAUGACGGGUAACGGGGAAUUAGAGUUCGAUUCCGGAGAGGGAGCCUGAGAAAUAGCUACCACAUCUAAGGAAGGCAGCAGGCGCGUAAAUUACCCAAUUCUAAAGAAGAGAGGUAGUGACAAGAAAUAACAAGGUAAGGUCAAAUUUUGGCUUUGCCAUUGGAAUGAUAGGAAUUUAAAAACUUCCUAAAGUAACAAUUGGAGGGCAAGUCUGGUGCCAGCAGCCGCGGUAAUUCCAGCUCCAAUAGCGUAUAUUAAAAUUGUUGCAGUUAAAACGCUCGUAGUUGAAUUUCAAAGAAUCAAUUUUUAAGGUAAUGCUUUAUCGGAUACGUGUUAAAUGGUGCUUCGGCGCGUAUUUUUCACAAUUCUGAUAUUAUGUAUUCCUUAAAAUAAAAUAGGUUCUUUUUAAAAAUUCUUCGUUGCUUUAUGUGAUGAGAAUUUUUGUUACUUUGAGUAAAUUAGAGUGUUCAAAGCAAACAGUUUAAAACAGCUAAAACUGUGUUUGAAUACUACAGCAUGGAAUAACAAAAUUGAACAAGCUAAAAUUUUUGUUCUUUUUUCUUAUUUUGGCUUAGUUACGAUUAAUAGGAGUAGUUUGGGGACAUUCGUAUUCAGAUGUCAGAGGUGAAAUUCUUAGAUUUUCUGGAGACGAACAACUGCGAAAGCAUUUGUCUAAAAUAUGUUCAUUAAUCAAGAACGAAAGUUAAGGGAGUGAAGACGAUCAGAUACCGUCGUAAUCUUAACCAUAAACUAUGCCGACUAGGUGUUGGAUUAUAGAAUAAUAAAAUAAAAGAUACUCUUAAUGAAAUAAUUUUAAGAGCUUUUAGAUUACUUCCUUCAGUACCUUAUGAGAAAUCAAAGUCUUUGGGUUCUGGGGCGAGUAUUCGCGCAAGCGAGAAAGUUAAAAGAAUUGACGGAAGGGCACCACCAGGCGUGGAGCUUGCGGCUUAAUUUGACUCAACACGGGAAAACUCACUAGUUUAAGACAAGAGUAGGAUUGACAGAUUAAUAGCUCUUUCUUGAUUUCUUGGAUGGUGAUGCAUGGCCGUUUUUAGUUCGUGAAUAUGAUUUGUCUGGUUAAUUCCGAUAACGAACGAGAUCUUAACCUGCUAAUUAGCGGUAAAUACAACAUAUUCUUAAGUAAAUAAGAAUAUAGAUAAAAAUAACAAAUAAGAGAAAAUAUUAGGAUGUUAUUAUAUAUAAUGUCCUUUUCCCUUUUCUUCUUAUCUUGUUUUUUUUAUUCUAUUUCUUUUUUUACUUAAGAAUGUAUUUACUUGAUUGUAAAGCUUCUUAGAGGAACAUUGUGUGUCUAACACAAGGAAGUUUAAGGCAACAACAGG